GGAGUGACCCCCACCAUGGUGAAGUCAACAGCAGCACUGUCAUCACAGGGAGAUCUACCUAUCAGGGACCAGGGACUCUCUGAACUCCCACCUCUCAACACAGAGAUCAGAGUCUGGAACAGACAGAUACCCUGUUCCUGUCCUGGCCCUGCCAUGGCUCUCAGGCUUCUCCACUGUGUGACCCUGUGUCUCCUUGGAAUAGGUCACAUGGGUGCCAUGGUCACCCAGAACCCGAGAUACCAGAUUACCAGGAAGGGAAAUCCAGUGAACCUGAGUUGUUCUCAGAAUCUGAAUCAUGACACUAUGUACUGGUACCAACAGAAGCCGAGCCAAGCCCCAAAGCUGCUGUUCUACUACUAUGAUAAAGAAUUUAACAAUGAAACAGACACCUCCAACAACUUCCAAUCCAGCCGGCCUAACACUUCCUUCUGUUCCCUUAGCAUCCGCUCCCCAGGUGUGGGGGACUCAGCAGUGUAUCUCUGUGCCAGCAGAGACACAGAGCCAAAGCACUGCCUCCCCACUGUGCAUAAACCUCUGUUUCCCAGAUGCAAGGACCUUCUUAGACCUCCCACCCCUCCUUCAACAAUAGGAAGUGGGUUUAUGGCUGUCUUUAUCUCCUUUGUAGACAGAAGUUGGGCAUAAAGCAAGAAAAACUGU